rnacentral:lncRNA from 1 species
GGCGAGCUUUGGAGUGGCGGUUGGGCCGUUGGGCUGUUGGAUGGGGUGGUCUGGGACUUGGGGGUGGGGUCAGACGUAUAAAGGCUACGCCCAGCGCUUUUGGAAGCAGUAAGUAAAGCCCUAGGCUAAGGUGAGAGCGUCUGCUGGGACAGUGUGGCUGGACCCACGCGGCAGCCUGGAAGGCACAAUCCACACAGGUCUGCAUGGUCCACCAGAGCUCCACACCCACGGGGCCAGCCGGGGCUCUCUUCUGAAGCAGGUGAGCAUGGAGUCCCCUGUUUGCUUGCAAAGAAACAGACUGCAGACAUUGCUGCAUUCACGGUCCCGGCAAUGUCAUCCCAGAUCUAGUGGAAGGCCAAGGUCUCUUUCUAGCAACUACGUGAA